rnacentral:tRNA from 1 species
UCUCUGGUAGCUCAGAUGGUAAAGUAUCUGCUUGCACUGCAGGAGACCCAGGUUCAAUUGUUGGCUUGGGAA